AUUCCAGCCUGCGAGCUUUGGAGAGACCAAGCCCCCUGAGGCAGAGGCCGCGCCUCAGCAUGUUACAGCUGUUUUGUUGAGGUGUGGUGAGGUUGCUUCUUUAAAUGCGACCCUGAUACAUUCCUCCUCCCUGGGCAGGUCCUUCCCUCUGGAGCCUCCAGCCACCCCUGCCUGUGUUCUGUUGCGGAAAGACUUCUAAUUUCUCCUUGGGGCAGAGUGCCUGCGGAGUGGGGCGGGCCGCCGCCUUGGCUGUUUGUGAAGCGGCAUCGUUGUCUGGGGUAUGAUUUAAUACACUUUACCGACCUGAAUUCAUUGGAUAUAUGUAAAAAUGAAGGAAUGCACGUUAUUCUGCUUGAUGCUCUGCAGAGAGGAGCUGCCUGAGAGGUUGCACCUGCAGUCCUGGAUGCACUGGCCCCAGGGGUGGUUGGUGCUGACUCCACAUUUGUCUAAUAAGAUGUCCAGAUACAAAAAUGUCUGUGAUGUGGGAACCGUUACAGAUCUAGGAGAGUUUUUUCAACAGCAAAAAAAGCAAAGCCUGUUUCUGUCAAAGUCUUUUAUUUUAUUUUUGAAUUUGACCUUUUAAAAUAAGAUUAAAACAUUCCAUCAAGACUCCCUUUA
rnacentral:lncRNA from 1 species